rnacentral:rRNA from 1 species
AGUGAACGCUGGCGGUAGGCCUAACACAUGCAAGUCGAACGGCAGCACAGUAAGAGCUUGCUCUUACGGGUGGCGAGUGGCGGACGGGUCAGGAAUACAUCGGAAUCUACUUUUUCGUGGGGGAUAACGUAGGGAAACCUACGCUAAUACCGCAUACGACCUACGGGUGAAAGCAGGGGAUCUUCGGACCUUGCGCGAUUGAAUGAGCCGAUGUCGGAUUAGCUAGUUGGCGGGGUAAAGGCCCACCAAGGCGACGAUCCGUAGCUGGUCUGAGAGGAUGAUCAGCCACACUGGGACUGAGACACGGCCCAGACUCCUACGGGAGGCAGCAGUGGGGAAUAUUGGACAAUGGGGGCAAGCCUGAUCCAGCCAUACCGCGUGGGGGAAGAAGGCCUUCGGGUUGUAAAGCCCUUUUGUUGGGAAAGAAAAGCAGCAGGUUAAUACCCCGCUGUUCUGACGGUACCCGAAGAAUAAGCACCGGCUAACUUCGUG